rnacentral:rRNA from 1 species
AACGUAGGUGGCGAGCGUUAUCCGGAUUCAUUGGGCGUAAAGAGCUUGUAGGUGGCGGCGUAAGUCGGGCGUGAAAGCCCCGGGCUCAACCUGGGAAUUGCGUUCGAUACUGGAUAGCUAGAGUUCGGCAGAGGGAAGCGGAAUUUCGGGUGUAGCGGUGAAAUGCGUAGAUAUCCGAAGGAACAUCAGUGGCGAAAGCGGCUUCCUGGACCAGAACUGACGAUCAGGCACGAAAGCGUGGGGAAGCAAACAGG